AUGCUUCAUUGGCAUACAUACUAAACUAGAAUGAUACUGAGAAAAUUAGCAUGGCCGCUGCACAAUGAUCAUACACACAUUCAUAAAAAUUCAAUGACUAUGU